UUGUCACCCACCAUGAGGUUGCUGGGAAUUGAACUUAGGACCUCUGGAAGAGCAUCUAGUUCUCUUAACCACUGAGCCAUCUCUCCAGUCCUUGUGGAGGUUUUAAAGAAUCUCAGAAUUUUGAUUGUACACAAUGGAACUAGGAACAUGGUCCUGGACCAACACGAGUGGAGAAGAGCCUCUUGCUGGCUUGUGUCUGCCUGUGGGGAAGGAGGAUGUGCACUGCCCUGGAACUUCCUGACACCCUCACAUCACUUACCGAGAGCUGAACAGAGAAGGCACCGUGUGUUAUCCUUCUUCUCAGUAACCUAGCAUGGGGCUAUGGACCUCAAAAGAGGUUUAUAAACACAUGCAGGCUGAUUGAUGGGGACCAUUCCUUCAGAGAUGAACUAUGGGAAACUCCCAUGUUUUUUCACUUAUCCAUGUCUGAGCAUCUAUAGCAGCAACCUGUGCAUGUCCAUUACUUUCCUCCUUUGACACAACAGUGAGCAGCCAUCUUGGCUUGUGGUUGAAGUGUAUGAAGCAGCAGAAGACAACGCUUGUUCACAGGCUUUUCAAGGAACAGCCUCCUACACCCCUUUUCUAGCCAAUCCUGAAACAGCUCUCAAUAAUUCAACAAAUAUGUUCACGUGUUCCCUUUUCAAAACAGUGAUUUAAAAGGUUGCAUUGAUUUGUUUCAGACUUUAAGAAAAACCUAGACUAACCAGUCGUUGCAUAGCCCAGUUCCAAUUGGUGACAAUCCCCUUACUCUUGGCAAGACCCCAUCAUGAGUUCCCUGAAGUCACUAUAUAUGCCAGACAGUUGAACAAAGCUACCAUCUCAUCAGGAGCCUGCUGUGACGAACCCUGUCCUCAACUGUAACACACCUCCCAAGCUGCUUUGUUAAAUACAGCCAACCCAAACAAAGGGGACACUCCAGUGGCCAACUGGCCUACUCCCUUAUGCUCACUUGGCCAGAAACUGAAAACAUACUCACACGUGCCCUGCAGUUACAUGAUUCCAGGGGCCAAAUGCCACUGCAGAGUUUGUGCCUUCCAGUGUUGGGCUCAGUUCAUAACGGCUCAAGACUGUAGUGGAACUGCCAUCGUGAUAGUCAAAUCUUAACCCAUCUCCAGGUGGCGUUAACUUUAUGAAAAAAGAAUGAAAUCUAACAUGACCCAAAUAAAUCGCACCCCAUUUGAAAUAAAAAAAAUCA
rnacentral:lncRNA from 1 species